rnacentral:rRNA from 1 species
UACGAAGGGUGCAAGCGUUGUUCGGAAUUAUUGGGCGUAAAGGGUUCGUAGGCGGGCAAGUAAGUUAAGUGUGAAAACCCUGGGCUUAACCUGGGACGUGCAUUUAAGACUGCUUAUCUUGAGUAUUGGAGAGGGUCGUGGAAUUGCUGGUGUAGGAGUGAAAUCCGUAGAUAUCAGCAGGAACACCUGAGGCGAAAGCGACGACCUGGCCGAAUACUGACGCUGAGGAACGAAAGUGCGGGGAGCAAACAGG